UACGUAGGGGGCGAGCGUUGUCCGGAUUUAUUGGGCGUAAAGAGCUCGUAGGCGGUUUGUCGCGUCUGCCGUGAAAGUCCGGGGCUCAACUCCGGAUCUGCGGUGGGUACGGGCAGACUAGAGUGAUGUAGGGGAGACUGGAAUUCCUGGUGUAGCGGUGAAAUGCGUAGAUAUCGAGAGGAACACCUGCGGCGAAGGCGGGUUGCUGGGCUGACACUGACGCUGAAGCGCGAAAGCUAGGGGAGCGAACGGG
rnacentral:rRNA from 1 species